ensembl:snRNA U6 U6 spliceosomal RNA
GUGCUGCCGCAGCAGCACGUACACUAAAAUUAGAAAGAUACAGAGAGUAGCAUGUCUCCUGGGCAAGGAUGACUCGCAAAUUUCGGAAGCAUUCCAUAUUUUU